ensembl:lncRNA
GCUGGAUUAGCUCUUCGAUUAACAACUUGCUGGAGGCUAUUCAAAUUAGCCACACCGUGGGAUGUAAGGAGCUCUCUGAUUGGUUGGUCGGACACAGGCUGUCUGCCAGCCUGGAUUUUUCUAGCUCAUAGCUUCUCCCUGCUAAGAAGCGUGUGUGCUUGUACAAAGGCCGUUCAGCCUCGGGAUUUACACUCGGCUCGACACGGAUAUGUGAAGAAUGAAGGGACCCUGCAGCGAAACGGAGAGCCAACCUCUGACUGAGUGCCUGUCUACACAUUCUGACCACCUGUUGAAGAUAAGGGCUGUUUGAUGACGAUUUGGACUCCUCUGGGAGAUGAGGACACACCCACAUCUGUUCCAUACUGCAGCCAUGGAUGGUGUUACAGCUCUGAGUCAGCUUUGGGCCAUCAGACGCACACACUGGAAAACCAGCACCUGGACUUCAUGCAGGAGAGACGGCCUCAGUGAUGUAGGUUCAUAAGCGAGUUCAAACAUUUCUGGCCUCUUAUCACUUAGAUUUUGAAUGCAUUUAAAGCAGGAACUGCACACUAGGGGUGGGUCGCCUUUCUCACCCGACGGGCGCUGCAUCUUUAAGCGUCUGCGCGCGUUCCCGCGGACGGCAAUCACUUUCUGGCACAACAACUGCACGGACACGGUCGGUGCUGAAAGCCGACAGCUCGCUGAUUCUGAUGUUUCGGCGGGUCCGCGCUUUGUGUUCACGCCCUUUUUGCGCUGAUUCUAAAGCUGUUAGUUUUAUCUCUCUCCAAACAAUAUUGACUGAACCAACAGCAAAAGAAGAUCCAAACUACGCUUCACGUAAACAUCAUCAUAAAUUCCCUCUGACUUUUACUGUUUUGCUUCACCCACGAUAAAAUCACACUUCAUGCACAGCUCUCUCUCUCUCUCUGUACUGUUUUCUGCAUUAUUCGCUUGCUUGUUACGCGCAACUCUACUGUUGUUUACAACGCUGUCGGCCGCUGUUUUUUUUUUUUUUUUCGUUUUACAUUCUUCCGAAAAGAAAACCUAAUUUCUGCCGUUCAAUACUGAACAAAUUUAAACUUUUUAAAAUUAUGCAAAAUGCAAAACGGUUAGCCGUGUCUCUAAUAAAACCGCUGUAACGUCAGAGGUAACGUUCAUAUGUUGAUUAAUGGUUCUCUUUCGUUUUUG